rnacentral:rRNA from 1 species
UUCCGUAGGGGGUGACCUGCGGAGGGAUCAUUACUGAGUUUACGCUCUAUAACCCUUUGUGAACAUACCUAUAACUGUUGCUUCGGCGGGUAGGGUCUCCGCGACCCUCCCGGCCUCCCGCCUCCGGGCGGGUCGGCGCCCGCCGGAGGAUAACCAAACUCUGAUUUAACGACGUUUCUUCUGAGUGGUACAAGCAAAUAAUCAAAACUUUUAACAACGGAUCUCUUGGUUCUGGCAUCGAUGAAGAACGCAGCGAAAUGCGAUAAGUAAUGUGAAUUGCAGAAUUCAGUGAAUCAUCGAAUCUUUGAACGCACAUUGCGCCCGCCAGCAUUCUGGCGGGCAUGCCUGUUCGAGCGUCAUUUCAACCCUCAAGCUCUGCUUGGUGUUGGGGCCCUACAGCUGAUGUAGGCCCUCAAAGGUAGUGGCGGACCCUCCCGGAGCCUCCUUUGCGUAGUAACUUUACGUCUCGCACUGGGAUCCGGAGGGACUCUUGCCGUAAAACCCCCCAAUUUUCCAAAGGUGACCUCGGAUCAGGCCGUAGGACCCCC